rnacentral:misc_RNA from 1 species
UCGAGGCCCGAACGGAAAAUCGUGAACCAGUCAACCCCCUGUGAGGGCGGAGGGGGCGCCAUGGUGCGCCUUCCCCCCGCCCUCGUCGGGGGCCCCUAGGUGCACCCGCCUCGCCUUGUCGCGGGGCGGGGACGCCGAACAUGACCCGGGCGCGUUGGGCGCCAAGGAACAGUGCUUUUCGGGAGAGCGUCGUCCGCCUUUGCCGCCUCGGCGGAGGGGGCGGACGGGGUGAUCCUGUAACAAUUGAACU